CCUACGGGAGGCAGCAGUGGGGAAUAUUGCACAAUGGGGGAAACCCUGAUGCAGCGACGCCGCGUGAGUGAAGAAGUAUUUCGGUAUGUAAAGCCCUAUCAGCAGGGAAGAAAAUGACGGUACCUGUUUAAGAAGCCCCGGCUAACUACGUGCCAGCAGCCGCGGUAAUACGUAGGGGGCAAGCGUUAUCCGGAUUUACUGGGUGUAAAGGGAGCGUAGACGGCAGCACAAGUCUGGAGUGAAAUGCCGGGGCUUAACCCCGGAACUGCUUUGGAAACUGUGCAGCUAGAGUGCAGGAGAGGUAAGUGGAAUUCCUAGUGUAGCGGUGAAAUGCGUAGAUAUUAGGAGGAACACCAGUGGCGAAGGCGGCUUACUGGACUGUGACUGACGUUGAGGCUCGAAAGCGUGGGGAGCAAACAGGAUUAGAUACCCCAGUAGUC
rnacentral:rRNA from 1 species